CAGCAGCCGCGGUAAUACGAAGGGGGCUAGCGUUGUUCGGAAUUACUGGGCGUAAAGCGCACGUAGGCGGAUAUUUAAGUCAGGGGUGAAAUCCCAGAGCUCAACUCUGGAACUGCCUUUGAUACUGGGUAUCUUGAGUAUGGAAGAGGUUAGUGGAAUUGCGAGUGUAGAGGUGAAAUUCGUAGAUAUUCGCAGGAACACCAGUGGCGAAGGCGGCUAACUGGUCCAUAACUGACGCUGAGGUGCGAAAGCGCGGGGAGCAAACAGGAUUAGAUACCCCAGUAGUCCCUGUCUCUUAUAC
rnacentral:rRNA from 1 species